AUUGAACGCUGGCGGAAUGCUUUACUCAUGCAAGUCGAACGGCAGCACGGACUUCGGUCUGGUGGCGAGUGGCGAACGGGUGAGUAAUAUAUCGGAACGUAUCCAAUAAUGGGGGAUAACUAAUCGAAAGGUUGGCUAAUACCGCAUACGUCCUACGGGAGAAAGCUAGGGACCUUCGGGCCUGGCGUUAAUGGAGCGGCCGAUAUCGGAUUAGCUAGUUGGUGAGGUAAAGGCUCACCAAGGCGACGAUCCGUAGCUGGUCUGAGAGGACGACCAGCCAAACUGGAACUGAGACACGGUCCAGACUCCUACGGGAGGCAGCAGUGGGGAAUUUUGGACAAUGGGCGAAAGCCUGAUCCAGCCAUUCCGCGUGAGUGAAGAAGGCCUUCGGGUUGUAAAGCUCUUUCGCAAGAGAAGAAAACUUACCCUCUAACAUAGGGUGAGGUUGACGGUAUCUUGAUAAGAAGCACCGGCUAACUACGUGCCAGCCGCCGCCGUAA
rnacentral:rRNA from 1 species